rnacentral:rRNA from 1 species
UACGUAGGGGGCAAGCGUUGUCCGGAUUUAUUGGGCGUAAAGAGCGUGUAGGCGGCCAAGCAGGUCCGCUGUGAAAAACUCGAGGCUCAACCUCGAGACGUCGGUGGAAACCGUUUGGCUAGAGUCCGGAAGAGGAGAGUGGAAUUCCCGGUGUAGCGGUGAAAUGCGCAGAUAUCGGGAAGAACACCCGUGGCGAAGGCGGCUCUCUGGGACGGUACUGACGCUGAGACGCGAAAGCGUGGGGAGCGAACGAGG